rnacentral:lncRNA from 1 species
UAUUACAUUACACAAUAACGUUACUUCGGUCUCUGAAGCCCAACUUGUCCCUUACAAUAAUUACUAUACCAUUCCUUUUUCUCGUCUGUGUCUAACAUUUUCUGAGUAACACCCUUUCUUGUUUACCCUUCCUAAGUCGUGAUGUGUUCGAUUGUAAUGUAAAGGUUUUCGGUGUAAUCAAAUCAGCCGCAACUGGUACAAGUGAGCUAAUCAGAAUAUCGAUCAGACGCAGCACCUGCAAUUUCCUGCCAGUUUCGCGUGUCCUGGAAGUGUUACAUUUCGAGGCGCUGUUUCAAAAAGGAUUCAAUGUUUCUGUGGGUGACAGUUCGUAAAAGCGAUACAAAAUCUAAUGUCAUUCACUUCAAUCACCAUGUUUUACCACGAUCAGUGCAGCUACUGGGCUGCUCUUAGCGGAAACCUUCGGUCAACGAAAGGUCGAAGAGGGUAAAACGGCUAUCAGGUAAGAAAGGUAGAACGCCAAAGAUAAACGACGAGGAAAAGAAUGCCACAGUAGCAUAGUGGCAGAACGAGUGAGCAGCUAUCCCAAGGAGCGGUUCGGGCCCAUAUGUCAAGUAAGAUCUUAUAUACGAGAUAUUCAGAAAUAGUUAGAUUGCCCCCGGGGUAGAGAUCGAUUAUUUUCUUACACAGCUUAUAAGGACAUGGAGACUUUCAAGUCUACCCCUUCAGACUCGGUAAAGCUCCGUUAGAAAUAUGAAUCAAUGCAAUUUGGGUGUAGAUGGCGAUAUAACACACACACUGCAAUAAUUUGCCCUUUUUAUGAAGAAGCCAGACCAGCAGCAAAAAUAAAGGCGGCAGCGAAAGGGACUCGCGGUUACGACCCCAGCGGUAGCGCCACUCCGGAUGUGUCAGAAGGCGACAUAAAGCGAUUCAUACAUUUCGUAUGCGGCUGGGGAUCACCUUGACCAUGGAUGCAGAAGUCGUGGGAGAGAAACGAUGGCCGGGAAGACUGAGGAGAGCCAAACUUGGUACGGAGCAGGCAAACAAUGUCGCUACAAAUCCAAGUUCGCAGGCUGUUCGGAGAAAAACAUCGAGAGAGUAACUCUGGCCAGCUAAUUCGGUUGUUGAAAUCAUAACCUACCCGGUCAAGUUUGACGCUGAAGCCAUUACCAGGAAAGGCGGAAUAAUCCUCAAUUUUGUAUUCAUAUCAGUUCCUGUAUUAUUGACAAUUCGUCUGUGAUUGACUCAUCCGUUCACUGCACUUACUACAGCGUUUCAUUUGAAGUAGUCGCCGAACUAGUGGAGCCUUCUGAGGUCAAACAGUGCCUAAAUUUCCUCGAGAACUUAAAGAACUUCCAACCAAAUGUAGUUAAAUCCUGAAAGGAAUUCCCCUGUCUUCCCUAAAAACAUUGUAUACCCUCUUAUCGAGCCCCUAUGCAUAAUAAUGACGCGAACCUGCAAGAAGCGACUUGUUUUCAAUUUUUCAAUGUUCCAAUAGUUACAUCAGUCCAUGAAGAAAAUGUAAACCUGAACGGAAAAAUAUUAUCCAGCAGGUCAAGGGUCAAUAGCCUGCUUAGUUUAAGAAAAAACGGUAAUUGACUAUAUUGUUGUUUACUUAGCUUCAAGACUGCCUCCUGGCGCUCAUCAACGUGGAUUUGCCAAGGACAGAUUUACGAUCACAGGGCUUCGUACAAUGACCCAAGAUUGGGAAUUAUUUUAAAGCCACCAGAUAAAAUUUGACGGCAUCUACUUUAACUUUUCUAAGGUUUUUGGCCAAGUUAAUUAAGAGUUAUUACUUGUAAAGCUUAUUAAAACGGAGAAGCAGAUCCCUGCCCCAUACAAUCGAUUGGAAGCUAUCUGACAAAUCAAAUUUUUCAUGUUAAUAUUAAUUGCAUUCACAAAUUUCAGAGGAGUAUGCCUCUUGGAUGGACCUCAAGGUUUUUACACGGGCUUUAUGCUUAUGGUUUGAAACUCGAAUAGGUGGCCUUUUUACUAGAGCUGGCGCGCUUGUUACUUCAGUCGACAGUCGAUGUCGUAUCUGCGUGUGACGCACCAGUGGUACGAUCAUCUCUACCAAAAGUGCAUGCUCUCGUAAGCAAACUAACAAACACACUUUCAAGUGUGUGAUCAUUCCUCUAAUGAGAUCGGUAAAAUACAAUGACAUAGGAACUUAACUUUAGCGUUCAUCACCGUUAGUCUUAUUUUUUUUAGACACUCUGCAAUAGGAAGCUGCAUAUUUAAUAUUAAUAUUCGAACAGUCACAUAAUUCCCAAAUUUCUAUAUCAUUUCGCUGUUUAAAAUUUUCAUAUAAAAUAUAUUGACACCAUUAAAUGAAUGCGGAAUCGGUCUGUUCGUUGAGCUACCUUCAGAUACGGCAUAAAUUUAAGAAGUCUUUGAGUUUCGUGCUACUUGUUAGUAUGUUUCGAGUUUUACGACCGGUAUCGCCAUUUGUCAUUUUAUUAGAUGGCUGACCCCCAGACAUGAAAUGAGGUCAGUCUAUGACCGGCUUUCGGACUUCGAUCACCAAGUAUUCCUAAAAUUAGCAAACAAAUACGUUAUCCACUAAGCUAUCACGGGACUAUCGUCUACCAAACACCUACUUUGCCAACAAAACCGACGGGAGGAUCGAUGUAGACAUUUCUACCACCGUAGUUGAUGUCACCAACAUCCUUUAGAGCAGUGGGAUUUGUUAGUGCACGGUUCAUUUUUUCAACUAUUUACCCGACAGCUUUCUGCUGACGUUGCCAGCCUCGAAAAACUGGUUUAUACGGCUGUUCUCGGAAGGGUCAGCCAGUUUGGAGUGCCACGAGGGAGCUGCUGUAAAGGAAUGUACGAAGUGGAGAUACGGAACGCAAAUUUCUAACUUUGUUAUUAUACGUUGGAUGUCGAAAACGUGUUCUAUCGAGCUAGCUUCUUAUUUUCUGUAUUAGAGUUUUGUUUCUUGCUUUCCCUGGCUUUCUCGCUUGACUACAGGCAUGGAGAGUGACCGGCCAAUAGGCACUGCACAAAAGGAAAAAUAGCCGAAAUAGAAAUUCGAAUUACGGAGUGGCGGUAACCCGGAGAGGGUCCAGUUUGCGACUGGUAAGACACAUACCAUCGGUUACCGCAAUCGCAUUGCUUUGCUAUUUUAAGACGUUUUUUGAAUUUCUCCUUUUUCGUACGCACUUCUACGCGAAGACAACACUGAAGCCCACCCGCGAUUUCAGCUUUCUUCGAGGUUUCUACAUGCUAUCACAUAUGUCUCGCCUGCUCAGAUUCGCACUAGAAUUGAAAAUAGAUAUAGAAACUACAUAAAAUACAGAGCGCGCAUUGAAGAGGAACCAUAUACAUCGAACAUGUUAAUCACAACGCACUACGCACAGGCAAAAGAAGAUUCAAACAGCUGACGAUAGCUUACGGAGCGACGAGCUAGUAACUAAGGAAAAAUAAACGUGGAACUUGUAUCAAAGAUAAUCGUCUGUUAGAAAGUUAAGAAAGAAAAGUAACUAUUUUCAAACUGUAUAGCAUAGUCUCGGUAACAAUAUCUGUCUCAUUUCACUGGAUCCCCCUUGUCAAAGCCGGCUCUGUACUCGUUGUACAAAGUAAAUCGAGGAUUUUUCUGAACCUAAGCGGUACGGUUACCCCGAGUAGAUAUCGGCUACGCUAUCCACACAGUUGUACGCACCGGUUAAACGCUCGUCAGAUCAUUCUGAUCUCAGAAACAGCUCGCAUCGAUGCUACGUCGCGCGUCGUCGUAGCGAACCGAUGUUUUACUAGAGGAAACAGUGCAUGGGCUGUUUGUGUCGGAAAUAAUAGACUAGUAGUUAGAUUUAAUAAUAGGGUUAAACUAUUUCUGUCACGUAAUUGGAUUGGUACUUCGUGCGUUCAUGUCUGACCUGUACCACUCUUGUCAACGUAAAAGUUGUAACUAAUCUUGCCAGCAGGACCAUUUGCCGACAAACCCUCUGGCGACCACCUUGAAAGCGUUUAUCAAAAAAAAUGAGACACAGAUAAAUAUAACAUGUAAAGCCUGAAUAGGUAACGCCAACAAGAAAUUAACUGAUACCACCACUCUGCGUAUAAGCAUUUUAAUUAGGCAAAAAGCACUGUCUAAUAGAGUUGAGCGGACAUUCAACAUAUACAAACGCAUGAAGACUAAGACUAGUCGGUGUUGAAUGAAUCUUGCUCUAAUGUUAUAACCUCGUAUGGUCUCGAUUGUAAUAGGUCUCUAUAUAAGGGUUCAGGAACCAGCGAAGUAAUGAACGAGCAGAACUAAUGGUGACUAUUUACAUUGUUGAGGCAUACUCAAAGGCUGCCUAGGCCUAUGCCCAUAAGCAUCAAUUAAUCCACUGAACUUUGUUUAUCCUAGUGGUAUACCCUGAAACGGCUUUCAACUCCUAGGGAAGAUUAGUUUGCAAUGGAGAGAUACGAAUAUGUCACACUCGCCUCAUCAGAGAAUUAUAGGUCUCUUACGUUUUAACCGGAAUUCAAUAUUGUUUUGUUAGUUAGUAUCUUUCUGUUUACCUCCAACCACUGUGAUUAAUCAGCAUAGGCCAACGCAUAUAUAUCCAUUCAUGGACUUAUGACAACUGAAGCAGAUUUGUUCAGCCCAUUAUAAGCACAAAGUGAAUUUUUAGCUGAUAUAUGUAUGUAUAUGUAAGAGACACACCUCAUCGACACGUGUGGCCUUCACAAGACAGGCUUAACGAGCUAUGUCCAUGACUGCGGUCACGUAUUAAGUCAUAUGGUCUUUUAAGAGCCUACGUGUAGUUCUCGGAGAAGGCAAUUUUAGAAGACUUAACCUUUGUAUUUUACGUCCGGUAUCGCGGUGAAGCAUUUCAUUUUGGAUGCUAGCAUAACUCUAUUAUCAUGACAAUGUACCUGUAGACAAAUCAAAUCAUACGGUGUCCCCUAUAGAACAUGACCUAUCUUUUAUGUACGAAAUAGCACAUACUUCCCUUUCCCCCAUUUAAACAUGUAUCUACUUAACUAAGACAUGUCUAACUAGAAGAUAAAACCAGCAGAAUUAUCUUUUUGCACAAAAAAAAUGUAUAAAAGAACCAAGUGUGGUUUUUACUAUGAUUCGAUUUCUCACUGCGCCAGGCUACGUUAGGAAAUCUUAUCCAAGAUCGGCAUACGCAAUAAAAACAUGUCUAUAGGUAUUGGGGGGCAUGUCAGUAUGUUUGUGUCAGUUUACGUCAAGUACUUGUGUUGGAAGCAAAGAGCUUAUUCGUGUUAAACAUUAGCUGG